CUUAGGAAUAGGCACCCAGGCCCCGAUGAGUACCAUGAUGCCCAGAGCACCUGGAGGAAACAGCAGGCCUGACAUGGCUGGAGCCAAAGCAAGGCAUCAGAAGAGAACUGGGUCUGAACCGGCACCUUUUCCCUCACCUGGUGGGUGUCAUGGCAGCAGCCAGAGCCCACCUUCAGGUGCUUCUAGCCCACACAAUUUGGCACAUCUCUAUAUUUUCUUCCAUCAAGGUCUCUGCCUUCUGGCUCUCUGCCCAACCAGUUGCCCACAGACUGGAAAACAAAGGCUCGAAGCCUUCCCUGGAGACCUGGGCUUAAGGGAUGGGCCUUGGGCAGGCUGGGCGGAUGCUCUGUUGAUUUUUUUUUUUCCAAGUGCAGAGAAUGUGACAGCCAAUUCCUGUUGGAAAUAGCUUUUGUUUUCUUUGGAGCACAAAGCACUUUUCCUUUCUCGUGAUUGUCUCAGUUCAGGUCAUGUUUAGGAUGAUGAUUUGCUAACCUAAUUGCCUGCCUUCCAGAUCCAGAGUUCUUAACCUUUUAGGGUAGAGACCCUAUCGGAACUCUGAUAAGAACUAUGGACCCUGUCCCCCAAAUGUACAUACACACAGAUACCCCCAGUUUCACAUUUAAUAUCAAUCCUAGGAGGUUAAAAUCCCCUGGAUGAAGAAGAGUGUGUUCUUCCUACCCCACACCCCUGCUCCCACCCCCAGGUUUUUUUUUUCCAUCUGGAUCUUAAAAUUCCCCCAGCACUUCUUGCCUGGCUCUUGCCUGAAUUAAUCACCCCUGCUGAGGAGCAGGGACACUGGCUGGAUUCGGGCUGCCUCUGGUUUCAAGACUCCAGGUCUGUGGUGCUUUUUCAGGCAGCAGGAUAUUCCAGUGGGGGUUGUAAAAUAUCUGUCUCAUCCAUGCCUGGUUAUUAUGAAGGAGCUGGGCAGCCAGAGUCUCGGAGAUUCUAGAAGAGGUAACACAGCUUUGGGUGAGACUAGGGAGACAGGCGUUGUCUGGUUUUGUUAAAUUCCAGAAGCAAGUCAUUUUGCCAAAAAUGCCAAAAAUAAAAGGGCUGUCUAGACACACACUAGAAGCUCUCCUAUGAAGAGAGGCCUUCCUGAAGAUCAUUGAUUUAUACUUAAAUGGCAAGACUAGAGGCUUCAUUUAUUUAUUUUUUUGGCCACACCGUGCAACUUGUGGGAUCUUAGUUCCCUGACCAGGGAUUGAACCCCGGGCCAUCGACAGUGAGAGCUGAUAAUCUCUGGACCGCCAGGGAAUUCCCUGGGUUCAUUUAUUUAACAGGCAUGGUUUGCGUCCCUGGGGUGCACUGUGAAUUAGACAGACAACGAACCAGAGAGUUUUAAAGGUAGUGACAAGGACAAGGAUGAAAAUAAAAUAGGGUGAAGUAGUAGAUGUGAACUGAGAAGGUGCACUGGAGCCAAAACCUACAUAUUGCAAAAGCAGCUUCCAUCUGGAGGAGAAGAGCUCCAGGUGGAGUGAGCAGCUGCUGAAAAGGCCCUGAGGCUGAAACAAAUGGGGCUGCUUAAGGAAAAGGAAAAACACCUGUGGCUGGUGCAGCUUCCGGGAGAAGGAAGGUCCAGCUUCCGGGAGAAAGGAGGCCGGGACGGGGACAGGAGUGGUAGGCAGCGGGUGGGCCGCGUUGGGUUUGCAGGAAAGACAAUGGAGGGGGCAGAGCAGGCAUCUGUGACUGGAUUUGCAGAUUUGCAUUUUGAGAUUUGGCCUCCGCGGAAGAAGUGUCUUCGGGGAGGGCAAGAGUGGAAGACGGACCGAAGCGAGGCUGACUAGUGGCCCAGAUAAGAAAACAAGUUCAGAGACGUUAGGUAAAUUGCCCAAGGCCACAAAGAUAACAAGUGAUAGACUGGGAUCCAAACCCAGGCCAGCGUGGUUCCAAAGCUUUCCACACCAUCCCAGAACAACCCAGAAGGGAGUGGGCCUCGCAGGGUCCACCUUGUCUGACUGCCUGGGAUUGUCUCAGAAAAAGACUGGGGCAACAUUCCCAACAACUGGACACAGGAAAAGCCAGCCCAUCACACCCAGGGUUACACCCAGGCUUACAAAGAGAAACAUGACAUGUGUUCCUGUCUGUGGUGUUUCAGGCUCUCUGGUGGGUGUGCACACCUGUGACUAGACCAAGCUCCAUGGAGGGAGGGCUGUGUCUUCUUCUCUUUAUUGUUUUUGCUGUGCUUGAAUGAAUGAACGGAGGUUGACAGACACUGUCUUCAUC